GACGAACCGUGCGAACGUUGUUCGGAAUCACUGGGCUUAAAGGGCGCGUAGGCGGGCUUGCAAGUCUGCGGUGAAAGCCUCCAGCUCAACUGGAGAAGUGCCGUGGAUACUGCGGGCCUCGAGGAGGGUAGGGGCAUCUGGAACGUUGGGUGGAGCGGUGAAAUGCGUUGAUAUCCAACGGAACUCCGGUGGCGAAGGCGAGGUGCUGGACCCUUUCUGACGCUGAGGCGCGAAAGCGUGGGGAGCAAACAGG
rnacentral:rRNA from 1 species